rnacentral:lncRNA from 1 species
GGAAAUCCACUCCGGUGCGGGUAGAGUCCAAGCCCGAUUCGGAUUCGGACAGAAAAAAGCCGCACCGAAGAAGGCUGCGAAGAAGCAAAUUCCGGACAGACCGUUGUGGUACCCAGGAGCUAAGUCACCGGAGUAUCUAGACGGAAGCCUUGUUGGUGACUACGGAUUCGAUCCGUUCGGUUUGGGGAAACCGGCGGAGUAUUUGCAAUAUGAUUUGGAUUCGUUGGACCAGAAUUUGGCGAAGAAUUUGGCUGGUGACAUUAUUGGAACGAGAACUGAAGUUGCUGAUGUGAAAUCAACUCCGUUUCAGCCUUACAGUGAGGUUUUUGGGCUACAGAGG